UUAAGUGACUAAGCGUACACGGUGGAUGCCUAGGCAGUCAGAGGCGAUGAAGGGCGUGCUAAUCUGCGAAAAGCGUCGGUAAGGUGAUAUGAACCGUUAUAACCGGCGAUACCCGAAUGGGGAAACCCAGUGUGUUUCGACACACUAUCAUGUCAUGAAUACAUAGUGGCAUGAGGCGAACCGGGGGAACUGAAACAUCUAAGUACCCCGAGGAAAAGAAAUCAACCGAGAUUCCCCCAGUAGCGGCGAGCGAACGGGGAGGAGCCCAGAACCUGAAUCGGCUUGUGUGUUAGUGGAAGCGUCUGGAAAGUCGCGCAGCAAAGGGUGAUAGCCCCGUACACUAAAAUGCACAGGUCGUGAGUUCGAUGAGUAGGGCGGGACACGUGACAUCCUGUCUGAAUAUGGGGGGACCAUCCUCCAAGGCUAAAUACUCCUGACUGACCGAUAGUGAACCAGUACCGUGAGGGAAAGGCGAAAAGAACCCCGGCGAGGGGAGUGAAAUAGAACCUGAAACCGUGUACGUACAAGCAGUGGGAGCACCUUCGUGGUGUGACUGCGUACCUUUUGUAUAAUGGGUCAGCGACUUAUAUUUUGUAGCAAGGUUAACCGUAUAGGGGAGCCGUAGGGAAACCGAGUCUUAACUGGGCGACUAGUUGCAAGGUAUAGACCCGAAACCCGGUGAUCUAGCCAUGGGCAGGUUGAAGGUUGGGUAACACUAACUGGAGGACCGAACCGACUAAUGUUGAAAAAUUAGCGGAUGACUUGUGGCUGGGGGUGAAAGGCCAAUCAAACCGGGAGAUAGCUGGUUCUCCCCGAAAGCUAUUUAGGUAGCGCCUCGUGAACUCAUCUUCGGGGGUAGAGCACUGUUUCGGCUAGGGGGCCAUCCCGGCUUACCAAACCGAUGCAAACUCCGAAUACCGAAGAAUGUUAUCACGGGAGACACACGGCGGGUGCUAACGUCCGUCGUGAAGAGGGAAACAACCCAGACCGCCAGCUAAGGUCCCAAAGUCAUGGUUAAGUGGGAAACGAUGUGGGAAGGCAUAGACAGCCAGGAUGUUGGCUUAGAAGCAGCCAUCAUUUAAAGAAAGCGUAAUAGCUCACUGGUCGAGUCGGCCUGCGCGGAAGAUGUAACGGGGCUAAACCAUGCACCGAAGCUGCGGCAGCGACGCUUAGGCGUUGUUGGGUAGGGGAGCGUUCUGUAAGCCGUUGAAGGUGGCCUGUGAGGGUUGCUGGAGGUAUCAGAAGUGCGAAUGCUGACAUAAGUAACGAUAAAGCGGGUGAAAAGCCCGCUCGCCGGAAGACCAAGGGUUCCUGUCCAACGUUAAUCGGGGCAGGGUGAGUCGACCCCUAAGGCGAGGCUGAAAAGCGUAGUCGAUGGGAAACAGGUUAAUAUUCCUGUACUUGGUGUUACUGCGAAGGGGGGACGGAGAAGGCUAGGCUAGCCGGGCGACGGUUGUCCCGGUUUAAGCGUGUAGGGGGUGUGACCUGGUAAAUCCGGUUGCAUAUCAACCCUGAGGCGUGAUGACGAUGCACUACGGUGCAGAAGUAGUUGAUGCCCUGCUUCCAGGAAAAUCCUCUAAGCUCCAGGUAACAUUAAAUCGUACCCCAAACCGACACAGGUGGUCAGGUAGAGAAUACCAAGGCGCUUGAGAGAACUCGGGUGAAGGAACUAGGCAAAAUGGUGCCGUAACUUCGGGAGAAGGCACGCUGGCAUGUAGGUGAAGUCCCUUGCGGAUGGAGCUGAAGCCAGUCGAAGAUACCAGCUGGCUGCAACUGUUUAAUAAAAACACAGCACUGUGCAAACACGAAAGUGGACGUAUACGGUGUGACGCCUGCCCGGUGCUGGAAGGUUAAUUGAUGGGGUCAGCCGCAAGGCGAAGCUCUUGAUCGAAGCCCCAGUAAACGGCGGCCGUAACUAUAACGGUCCUAAGGUAGCGAAAUUCCUUGUCGGGUAAGUUCCGACCUGCACGAAUGGCGUAAUGAUGGCCAGGCUGUCUCCACCCGAGACUCAGUGAAAUUGAACUCGCUGUGAAGAUGCAGUGUACCCGCGGCAAGACGGAAAGACCCCGUGAACCUUUACUAUAGCUUGACACUGAACAUUGAGCCUUGAUGUGUAGGAUAGGUGGGAGGCUUUGAAGCGUGGACGCCAGUCUGCGUGGAGCCAUCCUUGAAAUACCACCCUUUAAUGUUUGAUGUUCUAACUCGGCCCCAUAAUCUGGGGUGAGGACAGUGUCUGGUGGGUAGUUUGACUGGGGCGGUCUCCUCCCAAAGAGUAACGGAGGAGCACGAAGGUUAGCUAAUCACGGUCGGACAUCGUGAGGUUAGUGCAAAGGCAUAAGCUAGCUUGACUGCGAGAGUGACGGCUCGAGCAGGUACGAAAGUAGGUCUUAGUGAUCCGGUGGUUCUGAAUGGAAGGGCCAUCGCUCAACGGAUAAAAGGUACUCCGGGGAUAACAGGCUGAUACCGCCCAAGAGUUCAUAUCGACGGCGGUGUUUGGCACCUCGAUGUCGGCUCAUCACAUCCUGGGGCUGAAGUAGGUCCCAAGGGUAUGGCUGUUCGCCAUUUAAAGUGGUACGCGAGCUGGGUUUAGAACGUCGUGAGACAGUUCGGUCCCUAUCUGCCGUGGGCGUUGGAAGAUUGAGAGGGGUUGCUCCUAGUACGAGAGGACCGGAGUGAACGCACCACUGGUGUUCGGGUUGUCAUGCCAAUGGCAUUGCCCGGUAGCUAAGUGCGGAAAAGAUAAGCGCUGAAAGCAUCUAAGCGCGAAACUUGCCUCAAGAUGAGUCUUCCCUGGGCCUUUAAGGCCCCUGAAGGAACGUUUAAGACUAAGACGUUGAUAGGCUGGGUGUGUAAGUGCAGCGAUGCAUUGAGCUAACCAGUACUAAUGAUCCGUGAGGCUUAACCUU
rnacentral:rRNA from 1 species